UUGUUUUAUUAUUUUUUUUAUUUUGUUUUUCUACCAUAAGACAAACAUUUUUCAAGCACCAUCAAGCCCACCAACAAGAAACAGUCAUUAGUUGAAAAAAUAAGUAAAAAAGAAGAUGAGAGCAAAGAAAACCCCUUAUGAAAUAAAAAUUAAAAAGGAAUCGUACCACUGUCAUUUGAAUUCCUCUGUUUGCUCAGUGCUUUGGCUAAGUUGGAAAAAAAUGCACCUAAAAACUCAAGAAAAUUAAUAUACACCAAAAGGCCAAAACUUCAAAUUUAUUACCUGAACUUUCACUGGCUGGAUAUUUGGAUUUCUUCUGAUCACCUUCACCAGUGACAGUUAAAAAUAUCUUAAAUAAAAUCAAAUUGAAAUAUGACAACUAAGGAAGUUAUAAAUGCAAAAGUUGCAUACAUCCUCCAAUGAACAGUCUGUGAUCCCGUAAGAUGCAAUUUUCAGCUGUCCUUCAUUAGCAUCCAAGUGGUCACAGAGCCUCGCAAUCUGAGAAGAAUUUCUUUCUGGAAGUGUAUACUUGACUUCUGAGCCUUUAUGAUCUUCAAGUUUUGCUUCCGGUAUUAUUUUUCUUAUUGCAGCUGUUACUCCUAAUAUCAAGAAAUUAUUUUCCGUGCAUUAAAAGAAGAGAAAGAUCGAAGAAAUUGAAUUUAAAAUAUUACCUUCAACAUCAAUUUUUCUCAACGGGGCUGACUAUAAAAAAAACAAGAUCACAGUAAAAAAUGUUAUAAGAAAAGACAAUUACUUACUAUUGUAUAUUGUGCCGAGGCUGGUUCGGGAUCUUUUUCCAUAGGCGCAAUUUCAAGUGUGAUCUCAUAACCCUUACCAAAUCUCUCUUUAAGGAAAGCAACGGAUCCUGCACACCUGACCUUCCCUUGAGCGACAAUAGCAACCCUGUCGCUUAACAGGUCUGCUUCAUCCAUGUAGUGGGUUGUAAGAAUCACAGUUCUGUCUGUAAGCAAUAAACACGUCUGAAUUCAAA